UCACCCCUCAAGCCCUGUGCUUGAUGUUGGACGGCUUUGGUCGAGUGUCAUCGACCCCUCCUAAAGACAAUGACGGCGGCCUGUGGUGCUCCCGGUACACUGAGCUUUUAACUAGGCACGUAUCGGAUGAGGGUACCCGGGACACGGUCCUUCUUCCCAGAUGGGGAAAGUUUUCAA
rnacentral:misc_RNA from 2 species